UCCCUGGUGGUCCAGUGGCUAAGACUCAGCUCCCAGUGCAGGAAGCCUAGGUUCGAUCCCUGGUCAGGGAA
rnacentral:tRNA from 1 species